AAGGAAUUGACAGAACAAAGUUCUUUCAUGAUUUGGUAAAUGGUGGUGCAUGGCCGUUCUUAGUUCGUGGAGUGAUUUGUCAGGUUUAUUCCGAUAACGAACGAGACCUUAAUCUAUUAAUUAUGCUGUUGGUAGGGUGGGCAACCAUUCUAUUAGUUUCUUCGGAAACCAACAUUUCAUCAAUAGCAAUAUUGAUGAGCUUCUUAGCGAGACAAUACAUCGUUUUUAAAAAUUAGUGUAGGGAGGUUUAAGGCAAUAACAGGUCUGUAAUGCCCUUAGAUGUUCUGGGCAGCACGCGUAUUACAAUAUUAAUACCAACGAGCUUAUCGUGGUAAAAUAUGCCUGCUCCAUUUAAAACAGGAGUGGGAAAACUUUUCAACUAUUAAUGUGACAGGGAUAGCUGUUGUAAAUUACAUCUUGAACGAGGAAUUCCUAGUAGACGCGAAUCAUCAAUUCGCAUCGAUUUAGUCCUGCUCUUUGUACACACCGCCG
rnacentral:rRNA from 1 species